CACGGAAACAAAGAACUUGUGUUUCCGUCGGGUUCUAUUCCUUCAAAAGACGGACAUCUGAAUCAUCACAGUCGCUGGCCGAAACACAAGUUCCCUGUAGAAUUCUUGUACCAAUCUGCCACUCCCCCAAUUCAAUGCAUUGUCCAUGAACCCAUCACAUCUUCAACGAAAGGGGCAGAGAAACUCAACCCUGAUAGCUUCCAAUACGACUACGCACGCCCCAAUCCUCGACUGUAAUUGCUUCCGCUGUCUCUCUCUCUUGGCGAUUUGAUUUUGCCUCUAUUACUGGUGAAUUAUAUGCAGAAAUGUAUAGCUUUAUGUAUAAAUUUCUUGCUUUCUUGAAUGAAUUUGGGGUUUAGUUGAUGCUACCAUUUUUCUCUAUUGCCGAUUCAGAUUGUUUGCUUCUCCUCCUCCUCCUCAAAUUACUGCCUAUGUAUGGUUUAUGUGGUUCAGAAGUCUGAAUUUCUGAAGUUUUCUGUUCCUAAGAAUUCGAAUUAUCUGCAUAUAUACAGUUAAUGGUCGCCCGGUUCGGUUGAACAAAUCCUGGGUGCUCCAUUUUUUAGCAUCUUUUUCCUUUCCAGUUAAUCAUAGUGAAACUAGUCUAUGCUACAGUGAAGGCAAUCCAUGGUUCUUAAUAUCAUUAGGAGAAAAUGGUGCACUGGAUGUUUUUGGGUUGGGCUGGAGGGUCAGGUUUUCUCUUUUGGAUGCCAGCAAGGAUUUAAUUACCAGCAGAGAUGUGGUUUGGUGAAUGUAAAACUGAAAUGGGUGAAAGAUAGAGCACUUGAUGCUGUUGUGUCUGGUGAAAGGGAUCUCAGAGCAGCUUGCAUUCUUGUUUCCAUGAUCUCUUCUUCGCCCCAUUCUUGUGUUCCCAUAUACCACCUCUCUCGCUAUCGCGGACAGCUUGGUCUAGCCCAUGAUCUUAAGCUCUCCACCUUUAUUAGGAGAUACCCUACUGUUUUUCAGGAGUCUCAUAGUCUUGAUGGUGGAGGCACUCAUGUCCCUUGUUUUGGCUUGACUCAUGAAGCAGUAAAACUCCACCAAGAAGAGCUCAAUAUUAUUGAGAAGAAUCAAGUGGAUCUUGUCAAUAGGCUCUGCAAACUGCUCAUGCUUACCAGAGACCGGACCCUGCCUUUGCAAACUAUUGACCAGCUGAAAUGGGACUUGGGUUUGCCGAAUGAUUACCAUUAUUCCUUGAUUCCACAUCACUGCAGAUUUUUCUCUUUGGUCACCCUCCCUGACAAGCGUGAUGGCUUGAAGCUUUUAUCCUGGGAUAAUGAUCUUGCUGUCUCACAAUUGCAAAAAAAUGCUGCUCUUCAACAGAAUGAAAACGAUGUUAAAAAUGGCUGCUUAGAAUUUCCAAUUGGAUUUACAAGGGGUUUUGGGUUAAGAAGGAAAUCCAUGGAGUGGUUGAAAGAGUGGCAAAGGCUCCCUUAUACUUCUCCGUAUUCCGAUGCCUCCCUUCUGGAUUCCCGCACAGAUGUCUCUGAGAAGAGGAUUGUUGGAGUCUUUCAUGAGCUUCUUCACCUAACCAUAGAGAAGAAAACUGAGCGUAAGAAUGUGAGCAACCUCCGAAAGCCACUGGCUCUGCCUCAGAAGUUCACUAAAGUGUUUGAGCGCCAUCCUGGUAUAUUUUACAUCUCUAAGAAGAAUGACACUCAGACUGUAGUUUUAAGGGAAGCCUAUGACCAUCAGCAACUCUUGCAUAGGCACCCUCUUGUAGAAAUCAGGGAAAGAUUUGGUAGCAUGAUGAGGACAGGGCUGCUGGAGAGGAGCAGAGGGUUUUACAAGAGAAGUGCAGGUGCUGGCAUAGAACAGGAUCGAUCAGAUGAUGUUUAUGUUGAUGAAAUGGAUGAUACUCAGCGUAGUUCUGAAGAGGAGUCAGACUGUAAGUUGUUUUCUGACUAUGAUUCAGAUGACCCUAUACAUGAACCGUGUUGAGUUCUGACAAUGCAUUCAGCACCAAUGAAUUGUUGGGAGUUUAAAAUUAUUCAAGCCCAACGUGAGCAAAUACUUCUCCAGUUAUUGUUCAAAAUUGGCAGUACGAUUUGAGAGCAAAUCCCUGUUUUCAUGUGGUACCCGAUUGAACAUUGCAGUUUUUAAUAAUGCAGUCAUUCCUCAAUCAAUUGAAUUUUGUUGACCAAAUUUAUGUGCUAUAUGCCUAUCAUCUGCCACUUCUCAUAGAUUGAUUCUCUGACAAGGAAAUGGAUAAGACUUAUGAUUGCUUGUUGAGGUUAAAAGUGGGAAGCUGCUCUGAAAUAUAGAAAGCUCAGCCACUAACGUUGUUCCAGAUGGAAGAGUAACAGAACUCUACUGAGGGUAGUAAUGUUCCCCAGAUAUCUUGUAAGAUCCAUGCAAGCAACAAACUUGAUAUUGGGAUGCUUCACGUAAGAGGAUCAAAUCCGUGAUAACUUUGUUUGACAUUUAGAGGAAGCAUGUAGCAACUCGUCUUGGCCAGAAUAUGAUUAGGAUUUCAGGGGAAUCCUCCCCUGGACCCCCAGUUUCAUGGGGCACAUCCUCCCGAACCCCCUACAAGAAGACCUACUCGGCCUGAAAAACAGUAAGUAUUUCAGGCCAAGUAGGGAGAAGAUACUAAUAUUACAAAGCCAAUUCCUGAAAGUAUGGAGUAUUGAUGAAGUGAUACUUUAGCUCUAUUAUAUGGGUGUCGUAUCAUUAAAAUUGUAUAUAUGAUAGCUUUUAAUGAUAUGAUAUAUUGUGAUAGAAUGAGAAUAAUGAUGCCCGCAUGCUAAACUAUCUAAGAAUUACUCUGGUCUUGUGCGUUUGAUAGGCGUCUCUAUUCUCUUGUAGUAUCUCCUACUUUUUAUAGUGUCUUGCUCAAUGUGAGCUCAGCA